UUGCUCUUCAACGAGGAAUACCUAGUAAGCGUGAGUCAUCAGCUCGCGUUGAAUUCGUCCCUGCCCUUUGUACACACCGCCCGUCGCUACUACCGAUUGAAUGGCUUAGUGAGGCCUUCGGAUUGGCUUCUGGGAGCCGGCAACGGCACCUAGUCGCUGAGAAGUUUGACGAACUUGGUCAUUUAGAGGAAGUAAAAGUCGUAACAAGGUUUCCGUAGGUGAACCUGCGGAAGGAUCAUUAAUGAAUUUUAGGACUCUCUUUUUAGAGGUCCGACCCUUUCAUUUCCAUACACUGUGCACACACUUCUUUUCACACAUUUUAACACUAUAGUAUAAGAAUGUAACAGUCUCUUUAUUGAGCAUAAAUAAAAAUAAAACUUUCAGCAACGGAUCUCUUGGCUCUCGCAUCGAUGAAGAACGCAGCGAAUUGCGAUAAGUAAUGUGAAUUGCAGAAUUCAGUGAAUCAUCGAAUCUUUGAACGCACCUUGCACUCUUUGGUAUUCCGAAGAGUAUGUCUGUUUGAGUGUCAUGAAACUCUCAACCCCCCUAUUUUGUAAUGAGAUGGGCGUGGGCUUGGAUUAUGACUGCUGUCGGCGUAAUUGCCGGCUCAGUUGAAAUACACGAGCAACCCAUUUGAAAUAAACGGCUUGACUCGGCGUAAUAAUUAUUUCGCUGAGGACGUUUUCUUCAAAAGUUAGAGGUGCUUCUAAUGCGCUAUUACAGCACUUUAAAUUUUAGACCUCAAAUCAGUCAGGACUACCCGCUGAACUUAAGCAUAUCAAUAAGCGGAGGA
rnacentral:rRNA from 1 species